GACGAACGCUGGCGGCGUGCUUAACACAUGCAAGUCGAGCGGAAAGGCCCUUCGGGGUACUCGAGCGGCGAACGGGUGCGUAACACGUGAGUAAUCUGCCCUUGGCUUUGGGAUAACUACCGGAAACGGUGGCUAAUACCGGAUACGACAACCGUCUGCAUGGGCUGGUUGUGGAAAGUUUUUUCGGCCAGGGAUGUGCUCGCGGCCUAUCAGCUUGUUGGUGGGGUAAUGGCCUACCAAGGCUUCGACGGGUAGCCGGCCUGAGAGGGUGACCGGCCACACUGGGACUGAGACACGGCCCAGACUCCUACGGGAGGCAGCAGUGGGGAAUAUGGGACAAUGGGCGGAAGCCUGAUCCAGCAACGCCGCGUGAGGGAUGACGGCCUUCGGGUUGUAAACCUCUUUCAGUACCGACGAAGCGCCGAUGAUGGUGGUGACGGUAGGUACAGAAGAAGCACCGGCCAACUACGUG
rnacentral:rRNA from 1 species